AUGGUGCUGGAUGCAUUUGCAUUCUACUUGGGCAACUUGCUCAGGCAGGUGGCAGCAGAAGAGCUGGGAAUGAUGUUGGGCGUCUCCGGCGAGAUUGACAAGAUGGGUGACAAGCUUCGGGACCUCAAAAACUUCCUCGCCGAUGCCGAUAGGAGGAACAUCACCGACGAGACUGUCCAAGAGUGGGUGGGGGAGCUUAAACGUGCCAUGUAUGAAGCUGCUGAUAUCAUCGACCUUUGCCAGCUCAAGGCCAUGGAGCAUGGAUCGUCCUCUGUAGAUGCAGGGUGUUUCAAUCCCUUGCUCUUCUGUAUGAGAAAUCCCUUUCAUGCUCACGAAAUCGGCACCCGCAUCAAGGCACUCAACCAGAGGCUUGACACCAUCAAGGAGCGGAGCGCUGCUUUCAACUUUAUCAAUCUUGGGUCCUACGAGCAUCAUAGCAGCAAUGUGAAUGCCUCUCGUCAUGGUGAUCCCAGCCGCGAGAUGUCAGGGGAGCUCGACCGGUCAGGUGUGGUUGGGGAUCAGAUCGAAGAAGAUACUAGAGCACUGGUGGCUCAGAUCAUGCAAACAAGUGAGGAGGUCAAUGGCAAAAUCAUGGUGGUUGCCAUUGUAGGUGUUGGUGGGAUUGGCAAGACAACCCUCGCUCAGAAGGUCUUCAAUGACGAGGCCAUCCAAGGUGAGUUCAUUAAAAAGAUAUGGUUGAGCGUCAACCAAAACUUCAAUGAGGCUGAGCUGCUGAGAAGAGUCAUCAUCGAAGCCGGAGGAGACGCCCAGUCAGCUGGAAAUGCAAAGGCAACACUUCACAGAAGCCUCAAGGGCGCCUUGAUUGGCCACAAGACCUUGCUUGUAAUGGAUGAUGUGUGGAACCAUGGAGCAUGGGAUGGUGUGCUCAAAAUACCCUUAGUCGAUGUUGUUGCUUCAGGCAGCCGUGUCCUCAUCACCACUAGAGAUGAAGGUGUUGCCCGAAGGAUGACAGCCACAUGGCCCUACCACCACGUCGAUGCAUUAGCACCCGACGAUGCUUGGUCAUUGCUCAAGAAGCAGGUACUCUCAAGUGAGAUAGAUGAAUACCACAUCACUAUGCUAAAGGACAUCGGACUGAAAAUUAUACAAAAAUGUGGUGGUUUACCACUUGCCGUCAAAGUAAUGGGAGGAUUCUUGCGUAGAAGAGGGGAGUUGCGUCGAGACUGGGAGCAGGUUUUGGAUGAUUCUAAAUGGUCAAUAACUGAAAUGCCCCAAGAGCUCAGCUAUGCAGUAUACUUGAGCUAUCAAGAUAUGCCUCCUCAUCUGAAGCAGUGCUUUCUAUAUUACUCUCUUCUUCCUCAAAAUAAAACUUAUUAUGCACAUGAAGUCGUUGCCUUGUGGAUUAGCGAAGGAUUUGUUCAUGGAAGCUCAAAUGAUCUAGAAGAAUUGGGAAUAAAUUACUAG
rnacentral:rRNA from 1 species